AUUUUAUUUAUAUAAUAGACGUAGUAUUAUGUACUGUAUAGAUACAUUUUUUAAUUCUGUAUAUAUAUAUGACAGAUCAUAGUCCUUAAACAGUUAUAUUGUUAUAAAGUUUUAUUUUACAUAUAGGAUCCCUACUAGACAUUUACUGGACCCAUCUGUAUUCUGCCAACAAAGCAACAGAAACAAGUUUUGCCGUAGCAAGCAGCAGUCAGCGUUUAAAAAUUCUCCUCCUUUAUGACUUAGCAGGGAGUUUGCCCUGCACAUCCCUUAAUCCACAAAUGUACAAGUCAUGUUCGUUCCAUCCAGUGAACUCCCCUUACAGUCGGAGAAACUCGAUGAGUCAUGGCGAGGGAUUCCCUACCCCUCUUCUCUGGGCAAGAAGAAUGGAGUGUUUCUAGGAAGGAAUGCUGAUUGGGGCCCUUGGCGAGGGGGUAUGCUAAUGCAUUUGUAACACUGUGGCCUCGUGCUUGUGGCGCGCUUCACACUGUGCAGCCAGGAAAUCAUCGGGACAAUUUGACAAAGAAUGUCUAGUAUUUUAGACUAAUCAUCUGUGAGGUAUUUUAGCCAAUCUGAACCACAUGGUCCUCUAUUACAGCUGCUCUUAAAAUAGUCAUCACGUCGCAUUUCCAGUAAGGCUUAGUCGCUUUUCAGGUGUCACAGCAAUAAAUUCAUGUCCAUUUGAAGUGGACACUCACAGUGUAAAACCUUUGCUUAAAUACAAAGUGUAUAUACAAGGACAUAAACAGUGCAGCGGUCUAGUCAGUAGUCAUUUCGCAUACACUUUACACACAGUACACUUAUUAAAGGAGCAACCUGGGGUUUACUGCCCCGCUCAUGAUAACAGCUUGUGGAUCACCCCUUGCAGAGCUCAAACCUACAACCAGCCCACACUCUUAAAAAUAAAGGUGCUUCAAAAGGAUCUUCACAGUGAUGCCAUAGAAGAACCAUUUUUGGUUCCACAAAGAACCAUUCAGUCAAAGGUUUUUAAAGAACCAUUUCUUUUUUUACCUUUUU
ensembl:lncRNA